UACGGAGGGUGCUAGCGUUGUUCGGAAUUACUGGGCGUAAAGGGCGCGUAGGCGGCCGUUUGCGUCGGAUGUGAAAGCCCGGGGCUCAACCUCGGAACGGCAUUCGAUACGGGACGGCUGGAGACCGGGAGAGGAGAGUGGAAUUGCCAGUGUAGAGGUGAAAUUCGUAGAUAUUGGCUGGAACACCGGUGGCGAAAGCGGCUCUCUGGCCCGGUUCUGACGCUGAGGCGCGAAAGCGUGGGGAGCAAACAGG
rnacentral:rRNA from 1 species